rnacentral:rRNA from 1 species
UACGAAGGGGCUAGCGUUGCUCGGAAUUACUGGGCGUAAAGGGCGCGUAGGCGGAUACUUAAGUCGGGGGUGAAAGCCCAGGGCUCAACCCUGGAAUUGCCUUCGAUACUGGGUAAUCUUGAGUACGGGAGAGGUGUGUGGAACUCCGAGUGUAGAGGUGAAAUUCGUAGAUAUUACGCAAGAACACCAGUGGCGAAGGCGGAGCUCACUGGCCCGGUACUGACGCUGAGUGCGAAGCGUGGGAGCAA